AGUGAACGCUGGCGGUAGGCCUAACACAUGCAAGUCGAACGGCAGCACAGUAAGAGCUUGCUCUUACGGGUGGCGAGUGGCGGACGGGUGAGGAAUACAUCGGAAUCUACUUUUUCGUGGGGGAUAACGUAGGAAAACUUACGCUAAUACCGCAUACGACCUACGGGUGAAAGCAGGGGAUCUUCGGACCUUGCGCGAUUGAAUGAGCCGAUGUCGGAUUAGCUAGUUGGCGGGGUAAAGGCCCACCAAGGCGACGAUCCGUAGCUGGUCUGAGAGGAUGAUCAGCCACACUGGAACUGAGACACGGUCCAGACCCCUACGGGAGGCAGCAGUGGGGAAUAUUGGACAAUGGGCGCAAGCCUGAUCCAGCCAUACCGCGUGGGUGAAGAAGGCCUUCGGGUUGUAAAGCCCUUUUGUUGGGAAAGAAAAGCAGCAGGUUAAUACCCCGCUGUUCUGACGGUACCCAAAGAAUAAGCACCGGCUAACUUCGUG
rnacentral:rRNA from 1 species